CAGCAGCCGCGGUAAUACAGAGGGUGCGAGCGUUAAUCGGAUUUACUGGGCGUAAAGCGUGCGUAGGCGGCUUCUUAAGUCGGAUGUGAAAUCCCCGGGCUUAACCUGGGAACUGCAUUUGAAACUGUCAGGCUGGAGUCUUGUAGAGGGGGGUAGAAUUCCAGGUGUAGCGGUGAAAUGCGUAGAGAUCUGGAGGAAUACCGGUGGCGAAGGCGGCCCCCUGGACAAAGACUGACGCUCAGGUGCGAAAGCGUGGGGAGCAAACAGGAUUAGAUACCCGCGUAGUCCCUGUCUCUUAUAC
rnacentral:rRNA from 1 species